rnacentral:rRNA from 1 species
UUAAGCGACUAAGCGUACACGGUGGAUGCCCUGGCAGUCAGAGGCGAUGAAGGACGUGCUAAUCUGCGAUAAGCGUCGGUAAGGUGAUAUGAACCGUUAUAACCGGCGAUUUCCGAAUGGGGAAACCCAGUGUGUUUCGACACACUAUCAUUAACUGAAUCCAUAGGUUAAUGAGGCGAACCGGGGGAACUGAAACAUCUAAGUACCCGAGGAAAAGAAAUCAACCGAGAUUCCCCAGUAGCGGCGAGCGAACGGGGAGCAGCCCAGAGCCUGAAUCAGUGUGUGUGUUAGUGGAAGCGUCUGGAAAGGCGCGCGAUACAGGGUGACAGCCCCGUACACAAAAAUGCACAUGCUGUGAGCUCGAUGAGUAGGGCGGGACACGUGGUAUCCUGUCUGAAUAUGGGGGGACCAUCCUCCAAGGCUAAAUACUCCUGACUGACCGAUAGUGAACCAGUACCGUGAGGGAAAGGCGAAAAGAACCCCGGCGAGGGGAGUGAAAAAGAACCUGAAACCGUGUACGUACAAGCAGUGGGAGCACGCUUAGGCGUGUGACUGCGUACCUUUUGUAUAAUGGGUCAGCGACUUAUAUUCUGUAGCAAGGUUAACCGAAUAGGGGAGCCGAAGGGAAACCGAGUCUUAACUGGGCGUUAAGUUGCAGGGUAUAGACCCGAAACCCGGUGAUCUAGCCAUGGGCAGGUUGAAGGUUGGGUAACACUAACUGGAGGACCGAACCGACUAAUGUUGAAAAAUUAGCGGAUGACUUGUGGCUGGGGGUGAAAGGCCAAUCAAACCGGGAGAUAGCUGGUUCUCCCCGAAAGCUAUUUAGGUAGCGCCUCGUGAAUUCAUCUCCGGGGUAGAGCACUGUUUCGGCAAGGGGGUCAUCCCGACUUACCAACCCGAUGCAAACUGCGAAUACCGGAGAAUGUUAUCACGGGAGACACACGGCGGGUGCUAACGUCCGUCGUGAAGAGGGAAACAACCCAGACCGCCAGCUAAGGUCCCAAAGUCAUGGUUAAGUGGGAAACGAUGUGGGAAGGCCCAGACAGCCAGGAUGUUGGCUUAGAAGCAGCCAUCAUUUAAAGAAAGCGUAAUAGCUCACUGGUCGAGUCGGCCUGCGCGGAAGAUGUAACGGGGCUAAACCAUGCACCGAAGCUGCGGCAGCGACGCUUAUGCGUUGUUGGGUAGGGGAGCGUUCUGUAAGCCUGCGAAGGUGUGCUGUGAGGCAUGCUGGAGGUAUCAGAAGUGCGAAUGCUGACAUAAGUAACGAUAAAGCGGGUGAAAAGCCCGCUCGCCGGAAGACCAAGGGUUCCUGUCCAACGUUAAUCGGGGCAGGGUGAGUCGACCCCUAAGGCGAGGCCGAAAGGCGUAGUCGAUGGGAAACAGGUUAAUAUUCCUGUACUUGGUGUUACUGCGAAGGGGGGACGGAGAAGGCUAUGUUGGCCGGGCGACGGUUGUCCCGGUUUAAGCGUGUAGGCUGGUUUUCCAGGCAAAUCCGGAAAAUCAAGGCUGAGGCGUGAUGACGAGGCACUACGGUGCUGAAGCAACAAAUGCCCUGCUUCCAGGAAAAGCCUCUAAGCAUCAGGUAACAUCAAAUCGUACCCCAAACCGACACAGGUGGUCAGGUAGAGAAUACCAAGGCGCUUGAGAGAACUCGGGUGAAGGAACUAGGCAAAAUGGUGCCGUAACUUCGGGAGAAGGCACGCUGAUAUGUAGGUGAGGUCCCUCGCGGAUGGAGCUGAAAUCAGUCGAAGAUACCAGCUGGCUGCAACUGUUUAUUAAAAACACAGCACUGUGCAAACACGAAAGUGGACGUAUACGGUGUGACGCCUGCCCGGUGCCGGAAGGUUAAUUGAUGGGGUUAGCGCAAGCGAAGCUCUUGAUCGAAGCCCGGUAAACGGCGGCCGUAACUAUAACGGUCCUAAGGUAGCGAAAUUCCUUGUCGGGUAAGUUCCGACCUGCACGAAUGGCGUAAUGAUGGCCAGGCUGUCUCCACCCGAGACUCAGUGAAAUUGAACUCGCUGUGAAGAUGCAGUGUACCCGCGGCAAGACGGAAAGACCCCGUGAACCUUUACUAUAGCUUGACACUGAACAUUGAGCCUUGAUGUGUAGGAUAGGUGGGAGGCUUUGAAGUGUGGACGCCAGUCUGCAUGGAGCCGACCUUGAAAUACCACCCUUUAAUGUUUGAUGUUCUAACGUUGACCCGUAAUCCGGGUUGCGGACAGUGUCUGGUGGGUAGUUUGACUGGGGCGGUCUCCUCCUAAAGAGUAACGGAGGAGCACGAAGGUUGGCUAAUCCUGGUCGGACAUCAGGAGGUUAGUGCAAUGGCAUAAGCCAGCUUGACUGCGAGCGUGACGGCGCGAGCAGGUGCGAAAGCAGGUCAUAGUGAUCCGGUGGUUCUGAAUGGAAGGGCCAUCGCUCAACGGAUAAAAGGUACUCCGGGGAUAACAGGCUGAUACCGCCCAAGAGUUCAUAUCGACGGCGGUGUUUGGCACCUCGAUGUCGGCUCAUCACAUCCUGGGGCUGAAGUAGGUCCCAAGGGUAUGGCUGUUCGCCAUUUAAAGUGGUACGCGAGCUGGGUUUAGAACGUCGUGAGACAGUUCGGUCCCUAUCUGCCGUGGGCGCUGGAGAACUGAGGGGGGCUGCUCCUAGUACGAGAGGACCGGAGUGGACGCAUCACUGGUGUUCGGGUUGUCAUGCCAAUGGCACUGCCGGUAGCUAAAUGCGGAAGAGAUAAGUGCUGAAAGCAUCUAAGCACGAAACUUGCCCCGAGAUGAGUUCUCCCUGACCCUUUAAGGGUCCUGAAGGAACGUUGAAGACGACGACGUUGAUAGGCCGGGUGUGUAAGCGCAGCGAUGCGUUGAGCUAACCGGUACUAAUGAACCGUGAGGCUUAACCUU